rnacentral:rRNA from 1 species
AGCGAACGCUGGCGGCAGGCCUAACACAUGCAAGUCGAACGAACUCUUCGGAGUUAGUGGCGGUCGGGUGAGUAACACGUGGGAACGUGCCUUUAGGUUCGGAAUAACUCAGGGAAACUUGUGCUAAUACCGAAUGUGCCCUUCGGGGGAAAGAUUUAUCGCCUUUAGAGCGGCCCGCGUCUGAUUAGCUAGUUGGUGAGGUAAAGGCUCACCAAGGCGACGAUCAGUAGCUGGUCUGAGAGGAUGAUCAGCCACAUUGGGACUGAGACACGGCCCAAACUCCUACGGGAGGCAGCAGUGGGGAAUCUUGCGCAAUGGGCGAAAGCCUGACGCAGCCAUGCCGCGUGAAUGAUGAAGGUCUUAGGAUUGUAAAAUUCUUUCACCGGGGACGAUAAUGACGGUACCCGGAGAAGAAGCCCCGGCUAACUUCGUG